rnacentral:lncRNA from 1 species
UUUUCUACAUGAUUCAGACUAGAAUUUGCCACAGGAAGCUUUCUUUUUGCGAUUACUGUCUUUAGCAAAGAAUAAGCGGCCAUUUGCUUGCUGAGCUCUAAUCUAUCCUCUCAGAGAGUAAACUUCUUACCCAUGCAGGCUCAGAAAAAAAGAAAAGAUGUACCAUGCUUAUAUUCUAGGAGAGAAGAAAGCUUAUUGGAGGCAUGAAUAACAAGAAAACUCCCAGAGCAUUUACAAAAGGGACUGUUGGACGACUAGGAGUGGGGCUUGAACUCUUCAAAGUUACCUUUAUUAUUCCUGCACCAAGGAGCUUUCUACAGUCAAGACAAGGGGUUGGAGUGAAAAAUCAGAAGUCUGCUGUGCCUGCCCUUCCCACUGCGGUCUCUGCCCUGCCUUACCCUUGUGGCCAAGAAGCUUGAUUCUUCAGUAUAAAAGGACAAGGAUGUCACACCUAUUUAUGGUAAUUGUGGUUGAGGUGGAGCCCAGUGGGAGUGGAAUGGUCACAGAAUGCUAAGGGAUUGUUACCACCCUGCCUGACAUCACCCUAGCUAGCCCUAUGUUGGCAGAGGUGCAGAGUGAGUUGUUCUAGGUAGGUCAAAGGUUUGAGACUCUGUUUUGUGGGUUGUUGUUGUGAAGCCACUUUGC